rnacentral:lncRNA from 1 species
AACAAAAGCGCACUCCAACAAUGCACACUUGUCCUUCACUUUUCCCUUUGAGCCCCAUAUUCAUUGGCGGCGCUGCGAGCAGAGAAUAGGCAAUGUGUGAUUAUACUGUAUGGAGCUGGUGAGGGGAGUGUGUCAAAGUGUGCAUGCCACACAAUGUGCCUGGAGAGAUUGAUGUUUUUGUCAUCCACCUGCUUCAAAGCUGUAAAAAAGCCGGCUGAUGCAAAUAGAGAAACCUAGCCAGGCAGGCUCACAAACAAAAGAGGGAGAACCUCCACUGCUCCUCUUUUUGCACAUCUGCUUUGGAGGAAUAUCUGAGGUUUCUGUUGUGACGCACACUGCAGGCUCAAAUGAACACUGAAUCUGAGUCUGGUGUCUGGCGACUACCUGAUCAGUCACUGGUCCUCCUCUUGUCUCUUUCUGGUGCUGUUCUGGUUGCGUCCCCAGCGGGAGCAGAAAUGGGGCAUGGAGCCUGGGCGGGGCGGCUGGGAGGAGAGACGGCAGCCGGGGUGGCGCGCCGACUGGAGGAGUGCCAACCAGGUGGAAGAAUACUGAUGUACCGCCUCCUAGCUCUUCGCCACUGCCUGUCUCUGAUCUGCCUCUAG